CAGGCUUACUGGCGCCAUUGUUGUUCUCAGCCUUUAGACCAUUUGACGGUGCAUAUACAUGGUCUGCAAAUUACAGGCAUGAAGAGAAGUUACCAGGAGUUGACAUUUUCGUUUGCACGGCUGAUCCUGUAAUAGAACCGCCAACUCUGGUGAUAAAUACAAUUUUGUCGGUAAUGUCAUGCAAUUAUCCGACUGAAAAACUAGCUGUUUAUCUCUCUGAUGAUG
rnacentral:misc_RNA from 1 species